GAUGAACGCUGGCGGCGUGCCUAAUACAUGCAAGUCGAGCGAACAGACGAGGAGCUUGCUCCUCUGACGUUAGCGGCGGACGGGGGAGUAACACGUGGAUAACCUACCUAUAAGACUGGGAUAACUUCGGGAAACCGGAGCUAAUACCGGAUAAUAUAUUGAACCGCAUGGUUCAAUAGUGAAAGAAGGUUUUGCUGUCACUUAUAGAUGUAUCCGCGCCGCAUUAGCUAGUUGGUAAGGUAACGGCUUACCAAGGCAACGAUGCGUAGCCGACCUGAGAGGGUGAUCGGCCACACUGGAACUGAGACACGGUCCAGACUCCUACGGGAGGCAGCAGUAGGGAAUCUUCCGCAAAGGGCGAAAGCCUGACGGAGCAACGCCGCGUGAGUGAUGAAGGUCUUCGGAUCGUAAAACUCUGUUAUUAGGGAAGAACAAAUGUGUAAGUAACUAUGCACGUCUUGACGGUACCUAAUCAGAAAGCCACGGCUAACUACGUG
rnacentral:rRNA from 1 species